GGGAGACAAACAGACAGUGGACAGAUUGCAGAGAGCUCUAUGUGCUGAGAGGAGGGUGCAGACCAGAUUUUUAAAUCGAGAAUGCAACAGUGAUGGAUUUCAAGCUUGGAGUGAGAGAGAAGGCUACGAGCCUGCAGUGACAAGGCAAAGCUGAACACUUCAGAGCAAAGGCCACACCCUACAGUUGCCAUGGAAUGGGGUGGCUCAGUGGGCUUUGGAGGUUGGGGAGCUGUGCUUUGGAAAAGCAAUGAGGAGGUAACAGGAAGUCUCUUCCUCUCCUAAAUCCUGUGUUCAUGGAAGACGGUGGGAGGCUGAGUUUUCUGCUCUUGAGAGGGAGUUACAUACAAGUUUAAGGGAAAAGAGCCUGAAUUUUCCACCUAAAUGAUUCUGAAAGAAUCAGAUAGAGGGAGUCCACGGAGCCUCCCCUGCAAGCAUCAGUACAGAAGUCGAUGAUAAUCUGGAUGCAAGCCCAGACUGUUUCCAAGAUUGGAUGAAGAGAAUCAAUUGACAAUGCUGUGAAGACAGGGAUUUGGAGCAUGUUGGGGGAGAAAUUGCUGAGCUUCUAGGCAAGUGUCCCUCCCAACGGAUGAAUAUUCAGCAGAGAACGGAGAGCUUUCUACGGGGUUAAUUUUCAAGUUCUGGAUGGUUUCCCCUCUUUGAGUUGCCAUUUGUUUCUGCUUAUAACCCCUGAAAUGACAGAGCUCUCCAGCCAGAGGGAGAUUUGCCCCGCUUCCCCCAUGUGGGAGAUUCUCCUAUGCUGGCUCUGCAGAUCCAGGGAGACACACGACCAGACCUGGGAGAAACUUUGGAAGCUGAGAGCAUCCUCACAGCAUCAGGCAGAACAGACAAGCGGGCCUGGGUCUCACAACCCUAAGGCAUUGAAUUCCACCACGGAAUCAGAUCACAGUCAGACCUUUCCCAGGUCAAGGCAACGUCAACGUAGCGUCAACGCAGCCAGGCCCACCCUAGAGGUCCGUUGUUCAACCUUGAGCAGGAGGCAGUCACUUGGCCUAGUAGAACUUCUGACCUGUGAGCUGGGGUUUGUUUUCAAUAUCCAAAAUUUGUGAGAAUUUAUUC